ACAGGUUCUCUCUCUCUCUCUCUCUCUCUCUUUCAAAAGUAAACAUUAAAAAAAUAAACUUUAAAAAUAUAUCAUAUAUGUAUUAUAUGAUAUAUAUUUUUUAGAUCACUGUGUUUUGGGGUCUUUGUUAUAUCAGCUUAAUCUAGACCCUAGCUUAUACUGCCUCAGUGUGCCAUACAAAUAUUCAUUUUGUUUCUGUUUGUGCCGUGAUGAAGGUUGGGAAUCACCAUGACCUGGACCAUUUCUUCUUUGUCCCUUUUGCUAACUCCUCCUCCCCAGUGUCAUCAAGGGGGAAAUCCUUUCCCUCCUACCUAUUCAGCUCUCACAAGUCUUUCUUCUGCUCUGCCCGGUCUGAGUCGAACAGUGACACCAGGAAAACCAAGCCUCCCAAAGUUUAUCUCCAUGCUUCUGAGCUAGGUCAUAAGGCAAGAAGCUGCCAAAAUUAAUAUGAACUUCGGGCUCCUUGGCUUACUGGUACCUUUGGACGAGCCCCACUAGAGCGCUCCUCUCCCAGGAGGAGCCUCACACUUCCAGGGCUUCUUGACAACAGCACCUGGGGGCUGCGCUGGUGGGCAGGGGUCCAUAGAACUGUCCUUCCUCCACCCUUCAGAGUUGAUUCCUUUCCACCUCUGACUUCGGUGCCCUUCAUCCGCCCCCCGCCAGUACCCCUUCUCUUGUGCAAGAACACCACUUGAGGCCCUAGCCCUAGCUUGGCUGGCUGGAACCGGAAGCCGAGGGGAUUUGGCUCUGGGGCGCACCAGUGCCCGCCAGUUGUGCGGGUUAGAUCACUCGGAGCACCUGCUUCUCCCUCCUGAACUACGAGCCCCAACGUCCUUCGAGACGGAUCGGUUCCAGCCUUCCCCCAACUACAUUUCCCAGAGUCCACCGGGGCCCUUUUGGGCCCUCUGAAGCGCGUGGCAGCCUGCGUGCCUGGCCUUUCUUUAAGGUGAGAGGAGGGGGCGGGGUGUGUGUGUUUCUGUAUGAUUUUCGCAAAGGCCUUGGGCGCUGCUUCUCUCCUGCUGCACGUGAGGUGGUGCGGCCUCCUGCCCCUCUUCCUCCCUCCCACUCCCCGUCAGGAAAAAAAGCUGUGAACUCAAACUCCCAGAGCCUAGGGCAAGUUCCGUGGAAGAAUGCAGCCGUUUUGACCCGGAUGCAGGCCCUCUUUGGUGUUUGAGUGACUCAAAACCAGACUUCUGGGGUUUUUUUUUGCGGGGGGUGGGGGGCGUGAAGAACCUUAAUGUGUAUCAGGGGCCAGAGAAGGAAGCGGAAUGAGUUUGAAAUCAUGCAUGAUUGGAAGCUGCGAGACAGGUGUGGAGUCUUCUGUCUCCUUUUUCUUCCUCCAGACUUCUAGAACUCUAGGCCUAACAAGAGGAGCCUGAGGGAAGAAGUUUGCACUACUUAAAGCCUUAAAGUCUUGGCCAGGUGAGUUGUAUCUUCCCUCUUUCUUCAAACACCGUCUUAUUUUUCAUGACUUAUGCUCCAUAUUUUGUCUAAAGGUUGCUAUCCUGACAGGCUUCUCUGGGCAGUUGGUCCUCAGUCCUCUCACUACAGUGGGUGAGAGGGCUAAAGAUAUGCUCGCAAUUAGCCCACUCCCCACUCUGAUUGUUCCUUCCCUCCCCACCCUGUCUUCAUGUAAUUCGGAAAUUAUUCCACACAUCCAGGGAACUCGGUGCUCUGCACAGCUCUGAUGGUGCAGAAAUACAUACCCUGGAGAGAAUUAGCUUUGCAACUUGUGGGGUCAUCUGGAGUAUUUACCAGCCUAUGAAGCACAGGCACUACCCAGCCAGAAAGACACAGGUCCCGGAUGAAGCAAGGCCUUGGAAGCCGCCUGCUAGAUCUGAUGUUAACCUUUAGUUUCAAGAUUGGGGAAAUUGGGGAAGGGGAUUUGAAUAGCUCAGUUUGGAGGGUGGUUGGUGCAGCAGCUGUUUACCAACCAUUUUAUCAAUCUGUAAGGCUCUAAGACUGACACAUUCUCAUUGCAUUUUAACAUUUCUGAAGUUGGGAUGCUUGUUUUUCAGUCAGUUCAGUUUAAUGAAAUAACAGUAACCUUGCCAGCAUCAUGCAUUGCAGUUUUUUUUUUUUUAAUUUUUUUUCAACGUUUUUUAUUUAUUUUUGGGACAGAGAGAGACAGAGCAUGAACGGGGGAGGGGCAGAGAGAGAGGGAGACACAGAAUCGGAAACAGGCUCCAGGCUCCGAGCCAUCAGCCCAGAGCCUGACGCGGGGCUCGAACUCACGGACCGCGAGAUCGUGACCUGGCUGAAGUCGGACGCUUAACCGACUGCGCCACCCAGGCGCCCCACAUUGCAGUUUUUAAAGCCACAAAGGAGAUAGUCCUGACACCUGACAGGGGCCACCUGCUUUAGGAGGGAUUUAAAACGUUUGUGAUUCAGGGCACCUGGGUGGCGCAGUCGGUUAAGCGUCCGACUUCAGCCAGGUCACGAUCUCGCGGUCCGUGAGUUCGAGCCCCGUGUCAGGCUCUGGGCUGAUGGCUCGGAGCCUGGAGCCUGUUUCCGAUUCUGUGUCUCCCUCUCUCUC
rnacentral:lncRNA from 1 species